rnacentral:rRNA from 1 species
AUUGAACGCUGGCGGCAGGCCUAACACAUGCAAGUCGAGCGGAUGAGGGAAGCUUGCUUCCCGAUUUAGCGGCGGACGGGUGAGUAAUGCCUAGGAAUCUGCCUAUUAGUGGGGGAUAACGUUCCGAAAGGAACGCUAAUACCGCAUACGUCCUACGGGAGAAAGUGGGGGAUCUUCGGACCUGACGCUAAUAGACGAGCCUAGGUCGGAUUAGCUAGUUGGUGAGGUAACGGCUCACCAAGGCGACGAUCCGUAGCUGGUCUGAGAGGAUGAUCAGCCACACUGGAACUGAGACACGGUCCAGACUCCUACGGGAGGCAGCAGUGGGGAAUAUUGGACAAUGGGCGAAAGCCUGAUCCAGCCAUGCCGCGUGUGUGAAGAAGGUCUUCGGAUUGUAAAGCACUUUAAGUUGGGAGGAAGAGUUGUAAGCUAAUAUCUUGCAGCUUUGACGUUACCAACAGAAUAAGCACCGGCUAACUCUGUGCCAGCCGCCGCCGUAAUAC